GGCAAGUAAGUGUCUUAUUGUAAACCCUAAAGUGAAAUUAAAAAGAAAAAACUGAAAGAUUCCGCACUCCAAUUGAACCGUGAUGUCACCUGGACAUCCUAACCUGAGCAAUUACAUAAGGUCCACAGCAAGAAGUUUGAUCAUGGCAACUCAUUAAACAUUAAAUUGAUAUGGUCUCCAGAAAUGGGAGAAAUGCAAAGAAAUGACUUUUGUACUUUUGUCGUAUGUCAUGCUUAAAAUAAUUUUGAGAAGUUUCUUUAAACCAGUUUGCACACA